AGACGCACUCGUGCAGCAGCCGCGGUAAGACGUAGGGCGCGAGCGUUGUCCGGAUUUAUUGGGCGUAAAGAGCUCGUAGGCGGCUUGUCGCGUCGACUGUGAAAACCCGCGGCUCAACCGCGGGCCUGCAGCCGAUACGGGCAGGCUAGAGUUCGGUAGGGGAGACUGGAAUUCCUGGUGUAGCGGUGAAAUGCGCAGAUAUCAGGAGGAACACCGAUGGCGAAGGCAGGUCUCUGGGCCGAUACUGACGCUGAGGAGCGAAAGCGUGGGGAGCGAACAGGAUUAGAUACCCUGGUAGUCCACGCUGUAAACGUUGGGCGCUAGGUGUGGGGGACCUCUCCGGUUCUCUGUGCCGCAGCUAACGCAUUAAGCGCCCCGCCUGGGGAGUACGGCCGCAAGGCUAAAACUUAAAGGAAUUGACGGG
rnacentral:rRNA from 1 species